UGGGGAAUCGUACAACGGCAGUACACUACACUCUGGAUGUAGUAAUCUUGGUUCGAAUCCAGGUUCCCCAG
rnacentral:tRNA from 1 species